rnacentral:tRNA from 1 species
UCUUAGAGACCUGAAAGGAUUCGGUUUCGACCCGAAACAAAAACAAUUAUUGUUUUCUGAGGA